rnacentral:rRNA from 1 species
AGUGAACGCUGGCGGCGUGCCUAAUACAUGCAAGUCGAACGGAGUGGCGCACGGGUGAGUAAUGUAUAGCUAAUCUGCCCUACACUAGAGGACAACAGUUGGAAACGGCUGCUAAUACUCUAUAGUGUAGGAUGAGGCUAUAUUGUAUCAGCUAGUUGGUGAGGUAAUGGCUCACCAAGGGUAUGACGCAUAACUGGUCUGAGAGGAUGAUCAGUCACACUGGAGCUGAGAAACGGUACGGACUCCUACGGGAGGGAGCAGUAGGGGAUAUUGCUCAGUGGGGGAAACCCUGAAGCCGCACCGCGGCGUGGAGGAUGACAAUUUGCGGAGCGGAAAAUCCUUUUGAUAGGGAAGCGGUACCUGACGAAUAAGCACCGGCUAACUCCGUGCCAGCAGCCGCGGUAAUUC